ACGGCCAUGAACUGUUCAAACAUCUGUUCCCGUACAAUCAAAGAAGUUAAGCCACGUCGAGCCUAGUCAUUACUAAGAUGGGUAACCGCUUGAAAAUACCAGGUGCUGUAAG